UGGGGAAUAUUGGACAAUGGGCGCAAGCCUGAUCCAGCCAUGCCGCGUGUGUGAAGAAGGCCUUUUGGUUGUAAAGCACUUUAAGCGAGGAGGAGGCUACUUGGAUUAAUACUCUAAGAUAGUGGACGUUACUCGCAGAAUAAGCACCGGCUAACUCUGUGCCAGCAGCCGCGGUAAUACAGAGGGUGCGAGCGUUAAUCGGAUUUACUGGGCGUAAAGCGUGCGUAGGCGGCUUCUUAAGUCGGUUGUGAAAUCCCUGAGCUUAACUUAGGAAUUGCAUUCGAUACUGGGAAGCUAGAGUAUGGGAGAGGAUGGUAGAAUUCCAGGUGUAGCGGUGAAAUGCGUAGAGAUCUGGAGGAAUACCGAUGGCGAAGGCAGCCAUCUGGCCUAAUACUGACGCUGAGGUACGAAAGCAUGGGGAGCAAACAGG
rnacentral:rRNA from 1 species